rnacentral:tRNA from 2 species
GGGGGUUUGGCAGAGUUGGUCAAUUGCGUCCGCUUGAAGAGCGGAAGAUUUGGGUUCGAUUCCCAAAGCCCCCA